UGCAGUCGAACGGUGAACCAGGAGCUUGCUCUUGGGGAUCAGUGGCGAACGGGUGAGUAACACGUGAGCAACCUGCCCCUGACUCUGGGAUAAGCGCUGGAAACGGCGUCUAAUACUGGAUACGAACCACGAAGGCAUCUUCAGUGGUUGGAAAGAUUUUUUGGUUGGGGAUGGGCUCGCGGCCUAUCAGCUUGUUGGUGAGGUAAUGGCUCACCAAGGCGUCGACGGGUAGCCGGCCUGAGAGGGUGACCGGCCACACUGGGACUGAGACACGGCCCAGACUCCUACGGGAGGCAGCAGUGGGGAAUAUUGCACAAUGGGCGGAAGCCUGAUGCAGCAACGCCGCGUGAGGGAUGACGGCCUUCGGGUUGUAAACCUCUUUUAGCAGGGAAGAAGCGAAAGUGACGGUACCUGCAGAAAAAGCGCCGGCUAACUACGUGCCAGCAGCCGCGGUAAUACGUAGGGCGCAAGCGUUAUCCGGAAUUAUUGGGCGUAAAGAGCUCGUAGGCGGUUUGUCGCGUCUGCUGUGAAAUCCCGAGGCUCAACCUCGGGCCUGCAGUGGGUACGGGCAGACUAGAGUGCGGUAGGGGAGAUUGGAAUUCCUGGUGUAGCGGUGGAAUGCGCAGAUAUCAGGAGGAACACCGAUGGCGAAGGCAGAUCUCUGGGCCGUAACUGACGCUGAGGAGCGAAAGGGUGGGGAGCAAACAGGCUUAGAUACCCUGGUAGUCCACCCCGUAAACGUUGGGAACUAGUUGUGGGGUCCAUUCCACGGAUUCCGUGACGCAGCUAACGCAUUAAGUUCCCCGCCUGGGGAGUACGGCCGCAAGGCUAAAACUCAAGGAAUUGACGGGGACCCGCACAAGCGGCGGAGCAUGCGGAUUAAUUCGAUGCAACGCGAAGAACCUUACCAAGGCUUUGACAUAUACNAGAACGGGCCAGAAAUGGUCAACUCUUUGGACACUCGUAAACAGGUGGUGCAUGGUUGUCGUCAGCUCGUGUC
rnacentral:rRNA from 1 species